CAGAGUAUUACAGAUCUUUUCCUGAGUUGAGUAUAUAUGAUAAGGUAUGUUUAUCAAGCUUAACUUUCUCAUCACAGCUAAUUCUUACACCUCGGCUCAAUUUCCAGAGUACUACAGAUCUUUUCCUGAGUUGAGUAUAUAUAAUAAGGUAUGUUUAUCAAGCUUAACUUUCUCAUCACAGCUAAUUCUUACACCUCGGCUCAAUUUCCAGAGUACUACAGAUCUUUUCCUGAGUUGAGUAUAUAUAAUAAGGUAUGUUUAUCAAGCUUAACUUUCUCAUCACAGCUAAUUCUUAUACCUCAGCUCAAUUUCCAAGUGCUAGAGUUGUUUUCCCAUGUUGAGUGCUGCAUAGAAUGGCAAGUGCACACAAACUAGUGACACGCCCAAGUGCUUACCUUGUGGGAGGCCCCUGACUCGUCUCCUUGGAAGGGGAAGAUGGUAAUAAAUCAACUAUGGAAGCAGAGAAAGAGGAUGCCAGAAGUGGAUGUUUGGGAGCCGCAGGAGGAAGUCAGUCAGAAAAAAGGGAAUUAUCGACUUGAAAUAUAAUACAGGAGAGAUUUCAAAGGCAAAACAAGGAGGUAGGAAGGUGCCUGAAACUCACUGCUCCAUUGAGAGGGGAAAAAGGAGCCCAAAGACGAUUAAAUUUAGUCUGGGAGAUGGAACACAGCAACGGAAAUGACUUCAGUUACCAGCAGCGUCGUCCAUAUCAUUAGUUCGAGGGCAAAACAAAGAGUUAGAAAGGUGCCCGGAACUCGCUGCUCCGUUGAAAGGAGAAAAAGGAGCCCAGAGACGGUUAAAUUUAGUCUGGGAAAUGGAAUACAGCAACGGAAAUGCCUUUAGUUACCAGAAUUGUCACCACUCAUAUAACACAACACAUGAUCUGAACCGAGAUAAAAUGACAGACUGUGUAGUGAGGAAAUAACACCAUCAUCAUCACCAUUAUCAUUAUCAAACAAACUGCACUUCCAAAACAGAAAAUACGCUGACGGAAAAAUGGAACUGUACAGUUACCAACAUGAACGCAAUCCUGUCUCGCUACAUACACGUCAAACGCUUGCUUUCUGCCUCCUCCUAGAGCUCUGUCAUGUAUAUACCCUCUCUAGGUCUAAUGUCCCGAGGUAGGCUUAUGUAUGUAUAUGUGUGUAGGGCAGCACAGGACAAGAACGGAAGCUUGGCUCAGGUCUGUUCGCUAAUUGGUACUCACGCUGGUCCAAUUAGUACUCAUAUCAGGGAAGAGGAGGAGGAACUAGUAUGCAACCACUCAGAAAAACUGAUCUCAGGUACAUAAAAAAAUUACUAUAGUCAAAAAAAAAAUGCGGGUUUUAUUUAUCUUUAAGCUGUUUUUGGUGUCUAGUUAGCUUUACAUGGACACUUUAAUGCUGUAGAUAGCUAAAUUUAGUCUUCAGUCUUGCAUAUCACAGACUAAAAGGGGGGCGACUUUUGCAUGAGGUUGACUCUUAACACAAUUAUCAUUUUUUUAGGCUGUUUAUGGUGUCCACUUAGCUUUACAUGGACACUACAAUGCUGUAGAUGGGUGAAUUUAGUCUACAGUCUUGCAUAUCACAGCCUUGCAGGGGGGUAGACUUUAGUAUAAGGUUCACUCUAACACAACUCUAUACAGCAGUUAACUUUUACACUAACAAGUCAAAAAGUU